UGAGCCUUGAUGUCCGUCACGGUGGCUUAGAAGGCGAGCUGAGGAGGAGCCAGCCUGGCUGAGCGGGAGGGAUCCGCUCCGAAGGCUGCGGCGCUUCUUCCCGCAGUGAGCUCCCCGCUGCCUCCCCCUCUCACCAGGAAGAAGAGCCUCGUUCCUUGUGUCUCCCUCCUGAGGAGCUGAGUACAGGGCGGCCUGGGAAUCGCUGUCCCUGCCCUCAGAGUGUGCAGAGGGAAGGCGGUGAGGAGGGAGGGGAACUCGAUGAGUGCUGACUCUGAAGCCAUCACAUCCACUGAGCACGAGCUCAUGUUACAUAGAAAGAGAGAUAUCAACAAGGACAUGAUGGUAUCUGGGGUGCCCAAGGCCAGUGAGAGCCUCCACACUGGAGAAGUAGCAAGCACGGCCCUGGACCUGGUGACUGUGCAAGACCUUCGAGAUUCCACACGAGCCCAACGUCCAGCUGAAAGUUCGCGCUGGGAUCCACCGGAGUAAGAACCAGCACCCAGAUGAAGAGAGAGAACAGUUCCAGCAUCCUGAGACUCCAUCACAGCCCCUCCCACCCCUCCUCCCUGCACCUGUCAUCACCACUGACCCCUAUCCAAGUUGCUGACCAGCAUCCUGAUCAUUCUCCUCUCUGAAGAACUUCUCGUAACAUUUCUUGCAAGGCAAGAUGCUCUUCAGGAUCACGUCCCAAACAAACUACGUGCACUCGGAUCCUUGGUUCAGUGUGUGCAUCGGGGAGAACUCACUAAUUAACUGUAAAGAUCCUAUGGAGCAGAUAGGCUUAUGAAUUGUCUUUAAU
rnacentral:lncRNA from 1 species